CUUACCCCCCCUUCCCCCCGCCCUUUCUGUGGCGGAGAAUGACGGGAAGAGGCGUCUGGAGAGGGCCGGCGUGUCGUCAUGCGACGCCCAGGACCUACGACGUGCGCAUGCGCAUUUCUCAUCCUCGCGUAGGGGCGGGAGAAGGGUUAGAAACGGCCGUCGCGUGACGUCAUGGGAUAGCUGCCCCACCCAGGGCCAUGAUUGGUUGGGGAAGAUGUGGGCAUACACGCAAAUUCCUGAGUCCGGAGCGGUUCUCCAUCGGAUCCUCAGCUUCUCCAUCCCGGAAAUGGGUUUAGCUGUCAAAGUCCAGACCGCUUCACCGCCGUCUUCUCCUAAUUACCUCCCCACGCCCCGGCGGGUUAGCUUUAGGGGACGGGGCACACUCCCAGCACACAUUUACACCCUAGAGGAGCCCAUGCGGUGUGUUGCCCCCAGACCCACAAUAAAACCCCAUUUUACAGAAGAUCUGAGGCUGAGUCUUCCGAGAACGACCCAGGAUCAACUAUUAUCCCACAUCAUUUAUUUGGUGGCCCAUAAGGACACUGUUUUCGGCUCAGACUUAAUCCAUUUCCUUCUGACCCCCUUUCUUUCCUCUCAUGCCUGCCACCUUCCAAUACCGCGCACUCUUGGGGGAGGGGUGGGGAGGAUUUGGCCUCUAUGGCUGGCAAGUUCUUCACUGGCCUCUACGACUGGUAAGUUGCUCGAGCCAGAGGACAUUCUGUGUGUUUUGCCACGGGACCCUGUGCUAGAGUUAGUCCUGAGGAAGGAAAAGGAAAGGUAAGCCUUCCUUGUUCUUUCUUGUGACUGGUGCCUCCCAGUACCCAGGAAGGUUGGGAGAAGAGCUGGGAGGAAAGACAUAGGAACUAGGCUUUAUUGGCUUUUCUAUAGGUCAGUAUCCCUCAAUUCCCUGGGAAUUCCUUUUGGGUUAUUUCUGCAUGUGUUUGGUGAAAUUUGAGCCUGAUGAGGCUCCUCACUUACUUGAUGACUGAUUCCUUUCUAACCAGCCUAGCGCUCCCAUGGCCCCUCCAACCCUAUCACUCGUAUCUGAGGCUGGAGCCUGUUAUAUCUUAGUGAACCCACUGCUGCCCUGUUCUUCCUAUCUAGGCCCAAUUUUGAGCCCCUGGAAUAGAAGUAGAAGCCCUUAACCUUCCUCAGAACCAUGGAAUUAGAAGUACAAGUUCCUUUCUCCAUGACCAACCUCUCCCAAAUCAAAGAGAAAUUGGGGAGAUAUUCAGAGAACUCCACUAAAUUUGUUGAGAAUUUUAAGGUGAUGGGUGGUCUUAUAAUUUGACCAACCUUGGGGCAAUGUUAACAUUCUUUCAUCCUGUGGUACUAUAGAGAAGAAGAAGAAAAAAGAUAUAGGUCUUGGUUCAAAAAAUUGGGAUUGACAUGGCCGAGACCAUCAAGCUGGUCUAUACCUGCCUGAGGCAGUAGGGAUUUUGUGGCUAAUCCAGAAUUAGUCUGUGGGAAACCACCAUGGCAGGGGCAAAAGAAAUCAUUGGCUUACCUGUCUCAUGGAGGAAAUGAAAAAGGAGUGAAGAAACAAGAAAAACUUAAAGAGCUUACUGCCCGAACAAGAAAAUUCUGCCCUUUUCCAAAGAAGACUAGUUAAAAAAAUUAAAAGAUGUUCUAACUUAGAUCUCAAAUCCCCUGAAGGUGCCACCAUCCUGGGCAUGUGCUUAAUUGGCCAAUUUGCCCCAGAUAUCAGAAAAUAACUUGAAAAUUGCCUAUGGGACCUCAGAUUCUACAAUUUCAACUUUUAGAGACCACUUUCAGGGUGUUUAAUAACAGGGGCUGAACCUUAGUAGAGCAAGGAACAGAGAACAGGCUUAAAUUUUGGCUACCCUCAUAUCUAAUGCCCAAAAGGGGGGCUUCUGCUUUAAAUGUCAUUGGUUUGAAGAGUGCCCACAAAAGAGGAAUCUUCUGGGCCCUUGUCUAAUGUGUGGUCAAGAAGGCCACUGGAGGAGAGAGUGCCAUAAGAAUGGCCACAAAAUGAACCAUUGAUUUAAAGAGUACCCUCAGAGGAGGAAACCUCUGGGCCCCUGUCAUUGGCCAAGAAGGGCACUAGAAGAAAAAGUGGAUAAUGAAGAGAAGUCUAAGAAAUAUCUUGAAACUCUCCCUUUGAUUUGCCAACUUUUUUAUUGGGGAGAUAUUUGAUGAAUUUUGAGGAGAGAACUGAAAAAAGUAAACUUUCCUAUUAGAUCCUAGGUGUCCUCAAAGUGCAUCAACAUACCUUCCUUCAUAGAAGGAUAGAUAUCCUGGAAUAGUCAGAAUAGGCAAUGAUGGUGCAAGGAAGUGUUCAUUUAUGUCUAGAUUUUAAGGAGGGAAAAGAAGUCUUUUUAAAAAACUAAUCAAAUCUCUGAUAACAACUCUUAAUAAACUGUGUUUCAGAGAAGAGGUUAUUGGCUUGUGUGAAUGUAGUUCAAACUAAUGAGUUUGUGUAUUCUAACACCUGGAGGAUUGUAACACACCUCUACAAAACCAGUGGAAGGUCCUUUUGGGGGAAGAAAGUCCUCCUGGCCCUCUUUAAGAUGCCCCUCAAAGCCUCAGUCAAGCUUAGCCUUUUUUUUUUAAGGUUUAUUUUUUUCCCAUUUGAAUAAGUUUAUUUAGUCAAUUUAGAACAUUAUUCCUUGGUUACAAUAAUCACAUUAUUUCCCUCCUUCCCCUCCACCCACUCUUCCCACAGCCAAAACACAAUUUCAUUGGGUAUUACAUGUGUCCUUGAUCAGAACCCAUCUCCAUGUUGUUGUUUACACCAAGAUGUUCAUUUAGAAUCUACAUCCCCAAUAAUAUGCCUUCAACACAUGUAUUCAAGCAGUUGUUUUUCUUCUGUGUUUCUACUCCCACAGUUUUUCCUCUGAAUGUGGAUAGUGAUCUCGUAGAUCCCUCCAAGUUGUUUGGAUCACUGCAUUGCCACUAAUGGAGAAGUCCAUUACGUUCGAUUGUACCACAGUGUAGUUCUGCUCCUCUCACUCUGUAUCACUUCCUGGAGGUUGUUCCAGUCUUCAUGGAAUUCCUCCACUUUAUUAUUCCUUUGAGCACAAUAGUAUCCCAUCACCAACAUAUACCACCACAAUUUGUUCAGCCAUUCCCCAACUGAAGGGCAUCCCCUCAUUGUCCAAUUUUUGGCCACCACAAAGAGCGCAGCUGUGAAUAUUCUUGUACAAGUCUUUCUCAUUUCUUUGGGGUACAAACCCAGCAGUGUUAUGGCUGGAUCAAAGGGCAGAUAGUCUUUUAUUGCCCUUUGUGCAUAGUUCCAGAUUGCCCUCCAGAAUGGUUGGAUCAAUUCACAACUCCACCAGCAGUGCAUUAAUGUCCCAACUUUGCCACAUCCCCUCCAGCAUUCAUUACUUUCCUUUGCUGUCACAUUAGCCAAUCUUCUGGGUGUGAGGUGAUACCUCAGUUGUUUUGAUUUCAAGCUUAGCCUUCUUGAGUUGCUCUAAGGGAUGUUCUUGUAGACCCAGAACAAUUCCUUUGCAAACCAACAUGCCAUCUAAUGCAGCUAUGCAGGGGGCCUUACACAACCAUGUUGAUGCACAUUUCCUCAAGCUUGACUCUCUUGGCCACCUAACUCCAUACAAGGGGACCUUGUCUGUCUGGGAACCUGGAGGGCUGAGAGUGCAGAACAGUUCAGCCCAGGGUGGAAAGUGCAUGGAGAGUGACAGAAAUUAAGCUGGAUGGCAUAUCUCUUUGCAAGAUAUCAACCUAGGAGAUUGAGAAGAAAGGGACGACUCCUCACACAUCCUUUGUAGGCUCUUACAGGCAAGGACCCUGACCUCUGACCAGUUAAACAGAGAAACAUCUUUCCAUGGAUGCCCCCCACCACUGGGGAGAAGGCCCCAAAUUCUGCCAUGUUUUCUGCCUCCCUAGAACUCCCUACUCCAUAGGGCAUUAAGAACAGGUCGUGUACCCUCUAGGUGCUCAAUAAAGACUUCAUGCAUGAAUGUAUCUGUCACUUCAUAAUAUUUGAGUGUCCCCUUUCUAGAGCACGCUUUGUACCAGGAAUGGGGGGAUGAAAAGGGCCCUUCGCCCCUAAAAUUCUCUGACUUUCACCUAAUAAUUCAACUCCAGUACUAUGAAAGGAAAAAGUUUCCUAUACAGUAACAGAAUUGUCCAGGCCUAUUCUAUAGCCCAGUCAUUUCAAAUAUCAAAGGAUUUAAAUAACAGAAAGCUUAAUUAAAUGUCUACUAUGGGCUAGACCAGUGAUGGCAAACCUUUUAGAGUCCAAGUACCCAAACUGCAAACUUAACACUGCAUCUGAGUCCCCUGUCUUGCCUCAGACAGGGGAGGGAAGAAGCAUUCUUUUUUUUUUUUUAAAUAAAACCCUUACCUUCUGUCUUGGAGCCAAGGCAGAAGAGUGGUGAAGAAGCAUUCUUAUUGGGUUUCUAGGCAGAGGGGUGGGUGAUGGGAGAAAUGUCGUCAAGCUGAGUGUGGAAAGGGGGAGGGGAGCAGCCUCCUCCACCACGUGUGCCAUAGGUUCACUAACACAGGGUUGGUCCGUAUCUUAGGCACUAGGGAUAUGGAUGGAACCCACUCAGGAUCCUAGGCAGAAAGUGAUGGGGCAACUAGAUAGAUGAGAAAACUCCAGGAGGGAGAGGUAGCAGAAAGGCAAGAGCGGAAGGUUUCCUGGAGAUAUCCUGAUGUGGACUUUCAAGGCAAAGGACUAUCUGGACAGCCUGGGAUGCCAAAUCUCCAGCCUAGGUACGAAAAAGUCUGCAGGCCCCAAAUUUCUCCUCUGUAAAACCAAGGGACUUGGACUAGAUGAGCAGCCUCUGAUGACUGACCUUGUAGCUCUGUCAUCAUUGGCUCCAAUUCUACAUACAAUCUUCCACAGCUCUGAAUACAUCUUUGUGUUCCUGGAAAACCUUCUGGUUCCCCAUGGCUUCCUGAACCAAACAACUGCUGAUUACAGUAUCGUGAACUUUCAGCAAGGGCCAGACAGAUUCACAAGUGAAUUCUUUCAAACUUUUAAAGAAUAAUUAAUCCCAAUACUGUACAAGCUAUUUGACAAAGUAAGAAAUGAAGGAGUUUUACCAAAUUCUUUUUAUGACACAAAUAUGGUACUGAUACCUAAGCCAGGAAGACUAAAAACAGAAAAUUAUAGUCCAAUUUCUUUAAUGUACAUAGAUGCAAAAAUCUUAAAUAAAAUACCAGCAAAGAGA